rnacentral:rRNA from 1 species
CCUACGGGAGGCAGCAGUGGGGAAUCUUGCGCAAUGGGCGAAAGCCUGACGCAGCCAUGCCGCGUGUAUGAUGAAGGUCUUAGGAUUGUAAAAUACUUUCACCGGUGAAGAUAAUGACUGUAGCCGGAGAAGAAGCCCCGGCUAACUUCGUGCCAGCAGCCGCGGUAAUACGAAGGGGGCUAGCGUUGCUCGGAAUUACUGGGCGUAAAGGGAGCGUAGGCGGACAUUUAAGUCAGAGGUGAAAUCCCGGAGCUUAACUUCGGAACUGCCUUUGAUACUGGGUGUCUUGAGUGUGAGAGAGGUAUGUGGAACUCCGAGUGUAGAGGUGAAAUUCGUAGAUAUUCGGAAGAACACCAGUGGCGAAGGCGACAUACUGGCUCAUUACUGACGCUGAGGCUCGAAAGCGUGGGGAGCAAACAGGAUUAGAUACCCUGGUAGUCCACGCCGUAAACGAUGAUUGCUAGUUGUCGGGAAGCUUGCUUCUCGGUGACGCNGCUACGCAUAGUACANCCGCCGUGGGAGGUACGGUCGCGAGAUAAACUACAAGAAGUUAGUAGNGUUGAGAGNGCGAGGCGACGACGAGGGAGAGG